rnacentral:rRNA from 1 species
UACAGAGGGUGCGAGCGUUGUUCGGAAUUAUUGGGCGUAAAGGGCGCGUAGGCGGUGCGGUAAGUCACCUGUGAAAUCUCCUGGCUCAACUGGGAGCUUGCAGGCGAAACUGCCGUGCUGGAGUGUGGGAGAGGUGCGUGGAAUUCCCGGUGUAGUGGUGAAAUGCGUAGAUAUCGGGAGGAACACCAGAGGCGAAGGCGGUUACCUGGACAGUUACUGACGCUCAGGCACGAAAGCGUGGGGAGCAAAAGGG